CCUACGGGAGGCAGCAGUGAGGAAUAUUGGACAAUGGAUGGAAAUCUGAUCCAGCCAUGCCGCGUGAAGGAAGAAGGUCCUAUGGAUUGUAAACUUCUUUUGUAUGGGAGCAAUAAGGCCUACGUGUAGGCUGAUGAGAGUACCAUACGAAUAAGCACCGGCUAACUCCGUGCCAGCAGCCGCGGUAAUACGGAGGGUGCAAGCGUUAUCCGGAUUUAUUGGGUUUAAAGGGUGCGUAGGCGGUUAUUUAAGUCAGUGGUGAAAGUUUUCGGCUCAACCGGAAAAUUGCCAUUGAUACUGGGUAGCUAGAAUAUGGUUGCUGUGAGUAGAAUGUGUGGUGUAGCGGUGAAAUGCAUAGAUAUCACACAGAAUACCGAUUGCGAAGGCAUCUCACAAAGCCAUCAUUGACGCUGAGGCACGAAAGUGUGGGGAUCAAACA
rnacentral:rRNA from 1 species